UACAACCACAAUUCCAAUGAAGUUGGGACCUUAAACAUACAAAGCUCAAUUCCAAUGAAGUCGGGACAUUGUUUAAAAUGUCAAUAAAAACAGAAUAGUUAACACAGUUUGUCACUAUAUCUACAAAUGCAGGCUAAAACUCUACCAAGGAAAGCGAAAGCCAAACAACACCCAGAAACGUUGUUGGCUUCUUUGGGCCUGAGCUGAUUUGAGAUGGACAAAUUCAAGUGGAAAAGUGUGCUGUGGUCUGAUGAGUCCACAUUUCAAAUUGUUUUUGGAAAUCAUGGACACCGUGUCCUCCAGGCCAAAGAGGAAAAAUACCAUCCGGACCGAUGACCACACCCACUACGUUACAUCAUCUUUCCUUUUAACACCACCCAAUAAGCGUUUGGGGCCUGAAGACAUGAAUUGAAGGUGGUAUUCUUUCCCAUUCUUGCUUGAUGUACAACUUCAGUUGCUUAACAGUCCAGGAUCUCCAUUGUGGUAUUUUGUGCUUGAUAAUGCGCCACACAUUUUCAAUGGGAGACAGGUCUGGAUUGCUGGCAGGCCAGUCUAGUAUUCAUAUUAUUUUACUACGAAACCAUGCUGUUGUAACAUGAAGAAUGCGGAUUGGCAUUGUCUUGCUGAAAUAAGCAGGGAUCUCCAUGAAAAAGAUGUUGCUUGGAUGGCAGCAUAUGUUGCUACAAAAUCUGUAUGCACCUUUCGGCAUGAAUGGUGCCUUCACAGAUGUGCAGAGAAAUUCUGUGCCUUUCUGUUACACUCUGUGUGAAGUGCCCGUGUGGGUGCUUUUCGCAGGCCUGUGGCUGGUUCCCUGCCAGUGACCGUACUUUGAACCAGCAGCAGUCGCUCUGAGAGUGCAGUUAAAGAUAUACAGUAUGCUGAUUCAAUGGCAUGAAGACACUAUUGUUUCCAAAGAGAAGUUGAGUCGAUGGGGUGGUCCCUGCGUGUAACGGCGUUGGAAAUGUUUGGGAAUAAUUUCCACCCGCGAUUUCUUUCUUCCACCGUCACUUCAUUCAUCCAACAUUCCUUCAGCUCUUAUACUUUUCGUCACUUUCAAGGCUCACAUGCACGCUGUCUUGUUUUCUCAACUGUUUGUCAGUUACAAUUGAUAUUAGCAGGAAAUCAAAAACAGCCUCACCCAACAAUGGAGAAAAGCCACUGCUAAUAAAAGAGUGGAAGUUAUUGUCAUAGAUCCAAUAAUCUUGUUCUAAUUAUAGUCCAUUCUGUGGUUUUUAGUCCUUAAAUAGAAACCGAUUCCCGCCUGAAACUUUUGCUUUACGUUUCAUGUGCUUCAAAUCGUGCUGAGUAAUGGAGGAGGAUGGUUCCCCGCCGUGUUUUUGUUGAUGUAAAUGAUCUCUAAGAUAUAGAGAUUUCAUGAUGAAGCUCAGAACAAACUGAUGAAAUUGGACUUGUCAAAAGGUGGUACUUAGGGGUCAAAAACGGGUGUACGCUGCCUCUCGCCCAAAGUCACCUGGUAUAGCCUCCACCUUACCCGUGACACUGGUGAGGAUAGGCACUAUAAAAAAUGGAUUGAUGACUGUAAAGAAAUAUCUAUAUUUCGGAUUAACACCACUUUCAGUCCAUGUUUGAUGCCCCUGUACUUCAAAUUUGCUGCUGCUGUUGUUGUUGCAACCCUGCUCAGUGCUGCUCACAUGCAUGUAUGUAGCCUUCCAGAGACAAAAUAUUGCAGCAAUGUAAUAUGGAGUAUAUAAAAUUUGGCAAUAAAAAGAAUAUAAGUACCAUAUGCACUGUAAAUGCCAUCCUGAAUAAAAUAAUCACAUUUACAUUUGUCAUGCUCAUCAACGAAUGUAUCAUUGCAUCUGCUCACACUGCUUAUAUGAAGGUCAUUGCUGACAUGACAAACCUUUCUGUCAAACUGUCCAGUUGCCAGGUGCUGCAAUUAUCCAUCUGUCCAUCCAUUUUCUAUUGCUUUAAACUGGAGCCAAUCCCAGCUGACUUUGGAUGAGAGGCAGGGUACAGGGUGUACCUUGCCUCUCUGGACUUUUCCAGUCAAUUGCAGGGCACAUACAGCAUAAUCUAACCACCAUUCACACCUAAGAGUUUUCAAUGAGCCUAACAUGCAUGCUAUUAGAAUGGCAAAAGAAGCAGGACUAGAUGCUGAAAUCCCAUGCACGCACAUGGAGAACAUGCGAAAAGUACCUGCACACCAGAGAAUCAGUUCCAGAUAAUCUAUUUACCCUCAGUCCUCAAGGAUUCCAAACUAACAGCACGAUGUCUCCUUCUUUAACCGGUUUCAUUAACAGCAGAAUGUCUGCACAUGCAAGUGAACAACAACAUUAUUCAAUUUGGCAGAACAUUUCGAGGUUUUAAUUAUUUCUUUACUUCUGGCUCAACUAGCUAGGACAUUUCUGAAUGACUUCAGUUCCACCGCACAGAAAAUGAAACUCUUUGAAGCCAACUCUGGCUUCCAUGUGCGAAAACACAAAUUUAGGAGACAAACUUGAAAACAUAUAUGGCUGAAAGUAGUGCAUUAAUUGAAGUCAAAUGACAGCUGACAUCAACAUAUAGCACCCUUCCAACAUGAGUUUACUGAGGUUCCUUUUUACUCCUGCCCU